GAUGAACGCUGGCGGCGUGCCUAAUACAUGCAAGUCGAGCGAACGGACGAGAAGCUUGCUUUUCUGAUGUUAGCGGCGGACGGGUGAGUAACACGUGGAUAACCUACCUAUAAGACUGGGAUAACUUCCGGAAACCGGAGCUAAUACCGGAUAAUAUUUUGAACCGCAUGGUUCAAAAGUGAAAGACGGUCUUGCUGUCACUUAUAGAUGGAUCCGCGCUGCAUUAGCUAGUUGGUAAGGUAACGGCUUACCAAGGCAACGAUGCAUAGCCGACCUGAGAGGGUGAUCGGCCACACUGGAACUGAGACACGGUCCAGACUCCUACGGGAGGCAGCAGUAGGGAAUCUUCCGCAAUGGGCGAAAGCCUGACGGAGCAACGCCGCGUGAGUGAUGAAGGUCUUCGGAUCGUAAAACUCUGUUAUUAGGGAAGAACAUAUGUGUAAGUAACUGUGCACAUCUUGACGGUACCUAAUCAGAAAGCCACGGCUAACUACGUG
rnacentral:rRNA from 1 species